UAGGGAAUCUUCGGCAAUGGGGGCAACCCUGACCGAGCAACGCCGCGUGAGUGAAGAAGGUUUUCGGAUCGUAAAGCUCUGUUGUAAGUCAAGAACGGGUGUGAGAGUGGAAAGUUCACACUGUGACGGUAGCUUACCAGAAAGGGACGGCUAACUACGUGCCAGCAGCCGCGGUAAUACGUAGGUCCCGAGCGUUGUCCGGAUUUAUUGGGCGUAAAGCGAGCGCAGGCGGUUUGAUAAGUCUGAAGUUAAAGGCUGUGGCUCAACCAUAGUUCGCUUUGGAAACUGUCAAACUUGAGUGCAGAAGGGGAGAGUGGAAUUCCAUGUGUAGCGGUGAAAUGCGUAGAUAUAUGGAGGAACACCGGUUGCGAAAGCGGCUCUCUGGUCUGUAACUGACGCUGAGGCUCGAAAGCGUGGGGAGCGAACAGG
rnacentral:rRNA from 1 species